rnacentral:rRNA from 1 species
AGUGAACGCUGGCGGUAGGCCUAACACAUGCAAGUCGAACGGCAGCACAGUAAGAGCUCGCUCUUACGGGUGCCGAGUGGCGGAUGGGUGAGGAAUACAUCGGAAUCUACUUUUUCGUGGGGGAUAACGUAGGGAAACUUACGCUAUUACCGCAUACGACCUACGGGUGAAAUCAGGGGAUCUUCGGACCUUGCGCGAUUCAAUGAGCCGAUGCCGGAUUAGCUAGUUGGCGGGGUAAAGGCCCACCAAGGCGACGAUCCGUAGCUGGUCUGAGAGGAUGAUCAGCCACACUGGAACUGAGACACGGUCCAGACUCCUACGGGAGGCAGCAGUGGGGAAUAUUGGACAAUGGGCGCAAGCCUGAUCCAGCCAUGCCGCGUGGGUGAAGAAGGCCUUCGGGUUGUAAAGCCCUUUUGUUGGGGAAGAAGAGCAGCAGGUUAAUACCCCGCUGUUCUGACGGUACCAAAAGAAUAAGCACCGGCUAACUUCGUG